GUGUUCACUUUGGCAGCACAUGUGCUAAAAUUAAAAUAAUAUUAGAUUAUUAUGGCCUCUAUGCAAGAAUGACACGCAAAUUUGUGAAGCAUUCCAUAAAAUA